rnacentral:rRNA from 1 species
UACGGGGGGGGCAAGCGUUGUUCGGAAUUACUGGGCGUAAAGGGUGCGUAGGCGGUUCGCUAAGUUGGAUGUGAAAACUAUGGGCUCAACCCAUAGCCUGCAUCCAAUACUGACGAACUAGAGUUCUGGAGGGGGUAGCGGAAUUCCUGGUGUAGCGGUGAAAUUCGUAGAUAUCAAGCGGAACACCGGUGGCGAAGGCGGCGACCUGGGUCGAGACUGACGCUGGAGGUGCGAAAGCGUGGGAGCAAACAGG